AGUGAACGCUGGCGGUAGGCCUAACACAUGCAAGUCGAACGGCAGCACAGUAAGAGCUUGCUCUUACGGGUGGCGAGUGGCGGACGGGUGAGGAAUACAUCGGAAUCUACUUUUUCGUGGGGGAUAACGUAGGGAAACUUACGCUAAUACCGCAUACGACCUACGGGUGAAAGCAGGGGAUCUUCGGACCUUGCGCGAUUGAAUGAGCCGAUGUCGGAUUAGCUAGUUGGCGGGGUAAAGGCCCACCAAGUCGACGAUCCGUAGCUGGUCUGAGAGGAUGAUCAGCCACACUGGAACUGAGACACGGUCCAGACUCCUACGGGAGGCAGCAGUGGGGAAUAUUGGACAAUGGGCGCAAGCCUGAUCCAGCCAUACCGCGUGGGUGAAGAAGGCCUUCGGGUUGUAAAGCCCUUUUGUUGGGAAAGAAAAGCAGCAGGUUAAUACCCCGCUGUUCCGACGGUACCCAAAGAAUAAGCACCGGCUAACUUCGUG
rnacentral:rRNA from 1 species